CCUACGGGAGGCAGCAGUGGGGAAUUUUGGACAAUUGGCGCAAGCCUGAUCCAGCCAUGCCGCGUGCGGGAAGAAGGCCUUCGGGUUGUAAACCGCUUUUGUCAGGGAAGAAAAGGUUCUGGCUAAUACCUGGGACUCAUGACGGUACCUGAAGGAUAAGCACCGGCUAACUACGUGCCAGCAGCCGCGGUAAUACGUAGGGUGCAAGCGUUAAUCGGAAUUACUGGGCGUAAAGCGUGCGCAGGCGGUUAUGCAAGACAGAGGUGAAAUCCCCGGGCUCAACCUGGGAACUGCCUUUGUGACUGCAUGGCUAGAGUACGGUAGAGGGGGAUGGAAUUCCGCGUGUAGCAGUGAAAUGCGUAGAUAUGCGGAGGAACACCGAUGGCGAAGGCAAUCCCCUGGACCUGUACUGACGCUCAUGCACGAAAGCGUGGGGAGCAAACAGGAUUAGAUACCCUGGUAGU
rnacentral:rRNA from 1 species